rnacentral:rRNA from 1 species
AGCAGCCGCGGUAAUUCCAGCUCCAAUAGCGUAUAUUAAAGUUGCUGCAGUUAAAAAGCUCGUAGUUGAAUUUCGGGAUCAAUAUGUUGGUCGUGCCUUGGUACGUACUAGCUUAUUGGUUUCUCCCUUCUGACGAACCAUGAUGUCAUUAAUUUGGUGUCAUGUGGAAUCAGGACUGUUACUUUGAAAAAAUUAGAGUGUUUAAAGCAGGCUCACGCUUGAAUACAUUAGCAUGGAAUAAUGAAAUAGGACGUUUGAUUCUAUUUUGUUGGUUUCUAGGAUCGACGUAAUGAUUAAUAGGGAUAGUUGGGGGCAUUAGUAUUCAAUUGUCAGAGGUGAAAUUCUUGGAUUUAUUGAAGACUAACUACUGCGAAAGCAUUUGCCAAGGAUGUUUUCAUUAAUCAAGAACGAAAGUUAGGGGAUCGAAGACGAUCAGAUACCGUCGUAGUCUUAACCAUAAACUAUGCCGACUAGGGAUCGGAUGAUGUUAAUUUUUAAUGA